CCUACGGGUGGCAGCAGUCGAGAAUCUUUCACAAUGGGGGAAACCCUGAUGGUGCGACGCCGCGUGGGGGAAUGAAGGUCUUCGGAUUGUAAACUCCUGUCAUGUGGGAGCAAAUGAAAAAGAUAGUACCACAAGAGGAAUAGACGGCUAACUCUGUGCCAGCAGCCGCGGUAAUACAGAGGUCGAAAGCGUGGUUCGGAGUCACUGGGCGUAAAGCGUGCGGAGGCUGUUUCGUAAGUCGUGUGUGAAAGGCGCGGGCUCAACCAGAGAACUGCAAAUGAUACUGCGAGACUAGAGUGAAGGAGGGGUAACCGGAAUUCUCGGUGUAGCGGUGAAAUGCGUAGAUAUCGGGAGGAACACUCGUGGCGAAGGCGGGUUCCUGGACAUUAACUGACGCUGAGGCACGAAGGCCAGGGGAGCAAAAAGGAUUAGAUACCCCUGUAGUC
rnacentral:rRNA from 1 species